rnacentral:rRNA from 1 species
AGUGAACGCUGGCGGUAGGCCUAACACAUGCAAGUCGAACGGCAGCACAGUAAGAGCUUGCUCGUACGGGUGGCGAGUGGCGGACGGGUGAGGAAUACAUCGGAAUCUACUUUUUCGUGGGGGAUAACGUAGGGAAACUUACGCUAAUACCGCAUACGACCUACGGGUGAAAGCAGGGGAUCUUCGGACCUUGCGCGAUUGAAUGAGCCGAUGUCGGAUUAGCUGGUUGGCGGGGUAAAGGCCCACCAAGGCCACGAUCCGUAGCUGGUCUGAGAGCAUGCGCCGCCACCCUGGCACUGAGAAACGGUCCAGACUCUUAGGGUAGGCAGCGGUGGGGAAUAUUGGACAAUGGGCGAAAGCCUGAUCCCGCCAUACCGGGUGGGUGCAGAAGGACUUCGGGUUGGAAAGCCAUUUUGUUGGGAAAGAAAAGCAGCAGGUUAAUAACGCGCUGUUCUGACGGUACCCAAAGAAUAAGCACCGGCUAACUUCGUG